GGAGAAGAUCCUGGUGCUUGGCCCAAUGUUGAGACAUCUCUAAGGGUGUGUGCUCUUUGAAGACUUCAGAUGUUCUUCAGAACCAGAUGUCCCUGGUGACCAGAUCAACCAAAGGAAGUAACUGAGCAAAAGUAUUGAGUAAUACAGGUAAAAUGGUGAAAAAGAAAUAACUCUGUCUCUACUGAUCUGGAAUGAUGUCCAAGAUAAAUUUCUAAGUGGGGAAAAAAUAG